rnacentral:rRNA from 1 species
UACGUAGGGUGCAAGCGUUGUCCGGAAUUAUUGGGCGUAAAGAGCUCGUAGGCGCUUGUCGCGUCGGCUGUGAAAACCUGGGGCUCAACCCCCGGGCCCUGCAGCCGAUACGGGCAAGCUAGAAUUCGGUAGGGGAGACUGGAAUUCCUGGUGUAGCGGUGAAAAUGCGCAGAUAUCAGGAGGAACACCGGUGGCGAAGGCGGGUCUCUGGGCAACAACUGACUGAGGAGCGAAAAGCGUGGGG